AAAUAUUUUCUUAUUUCCAAUUGAAAAAUAAGAAAAAUGUAUGAAUGGGUUUCCAUGAUGUGAACUGAAUUUGUUGAAUUUGCUAAGUUUCCAAAACAUAGAAAAAAAAAAUACAGAUGAACCUCAGUUGAACAGAUUCUAAACAACGGAUCCUGGAUUCAGCUUUAAAGAGUAUCUGUUGAAGUCUGUGACUUCUAAAAUUCAGCACAAUGAGUGCACUUCACCACAGGGCAGCCAACAGCACUAUGUUGUCAUCAUCGGACGGACUGGUUUGCGGCUUGCGCUACUCUCUCAUAAAUAAACAGACUCAGAGUAGACUAGAGCAGGCUAAAACACACAUCAAUGUAUGGACUAUGUUGGUAGUCGCGAUGUUAUAUCAAAGGAAAUGCACGGCUGUACGUGGUGGGUUAUGCUAGCAAGGAUUCAUGAACUUUAGCUUAGCAUCAACAUUAAGCAUGUAGCUCAAGGGAGCAUGUCUUGUUCAUAGCUCCGUUUUUUUUAUUUUUUAACACAAAGGAACUAAUCGUGUACACUCUUUCCAACAUGCUAUUUUUAGGACAGUGCAUCGAUGUUUUUUCUAAAGCUCUUAUCUAUGACAUCUAAUCACAACUGAAGUGAAAAAAAAAAAACCAAGCGCUAAUUAAGGUGACCAGCUCCAACCAACAAAAAGGACACAAAACAAGUCAUUGGAUGUAAUGGACAAUCGGCUCGAAUGGACGACCACCGACCCCAAUUACUUCAUUAAAUUGAGGUUCCAAUGUACCGUCAACGAAUUCAAAAUCGUCUUCUUUGCAGCCGCGGACACCCCCGAAUAAAAUUACGAUUACAAUA